rnacentral:rRNA from 1 species
UACGUAGGGUGCGAGCGUUGUCCGGAUUUAUUGGGCGUAAAGAGCUCGUAGGCGGUUCAGUAAGUCGGGUGUGAAAACUCUGGGCUCAACCCAGAGACGCCACCCGAUACUGCUGUGACUUGAGUACGGUAGGGGAGUGGGGAAUUCCUGGUGUAGCGGUGAAAUGCGCAGAUAUCAGGAGGAACACCAGUGGCGAAGGCGCCACUCUGGGCCGUAACUGACGCUGAGGAGCGAAAGCGUGGGUAGCAAACAGG